rnacentral:rRNA from 1 species
GAUGAACGCUAGCGACAGGCUUAACACAUGCAAGUCGAGGGGCAGCAUAAAAGUAGCAAUACUUUGGUGGCGACCGGCGCACGGGUGAGUAACGCGUAUGCAACCUACCUAUCAGAGGGGAAUAACCCGGCGAAAGUCGGACUAAUACCGCAUAAAACAGGGGCACCGCAUGGUGAUAUUUGUUAAAGAGAUUCGCUGAUAGAUGGGCAUGCGUUCCAUUAGGUAGUUGGUGAGGUAACGGCUCACCAAGCCGACGAUGGAUAGGGGAACUGAGAGGUUGGUCGCCCACGCUGGUACUGGGACACGGACCAGUCUCCUACGGGAGGCAGCAGUGAGGAAUAUUGGUCAAUGGGCGAGAGCCUGAACCAGCCAAGUCGCGUGAAGGAAGAAGGAUCUAUGGUUCGUAAACUUCUUUUGCAGGGGAAUAAAGUGCAGGACGUGUCCUGUUUUGUAUGUACCCUGAGAAUAAGGAUCGGCUAACUCCGUGCCAGCCGCCGCGGUAA